CUGCCUGCAGCCUUUGUCCUUCUGGAGGCUUUACAGCCCUUGAAGACCCACUGCCCCACGGAGGGGUGCCAUGUGCAGCCGGAGAUGGAUGCCAUGUAUGAAAUAGUCGAGCAGUUCAACAGGACCCUCGAGGACCUAACAAGAUACCUGGACACCCUCAACCAGGAGACGCCUGAGGGCAGUGACAGCUCCUGGACCUCCAUCACGGCGAGCGACACUGGCUCCUCUUCAAGGGUCU